UACAGAGGUCUCAAGCGUUGUUCGGAUUCAUUGGGCGUAAAGGGUGCGUAGGUGGCGCCGUAAGUCGGGUGUGAAAUUUCGGAGCUUAACUCCGAACUGCGUUCGAUACUGCGGUGCUUGAGGACUGGAGAGGAGACUGGAAUUCCUGGUGUAGCGGUGAAAUGCGCAGAUAUCAGGAGGAACACCCGUGGCGAAGGCGGCUCUCUGGGACGGUACUGACGCUGAGACGCGAAAGCGUGGGAGCGAACAGG
rnacentral:rRNA from 1 species